UCUUGAGGAGAGCUGCUUUCAAACCAUGGU
rnacentral:piRNA from 1 species